AGGAUAGCAGAUGACUUCAAAGCCACUAGCAGACUGUUUACUUUAUCUGGGAUCAAGGACCCUGCAUGGAUAAAAGGCAAAGGAAGUCAUCCACCUUGAAAAAAAAUAUUUUCUUAAAAUAGAGGUUUGGUAUCUAAAGCUCCUUUAAUUCAUAGGUUCAGCUCUAUGAAAUCAUUCUCUUUGAUGUUUAAUCAUCCCAAAUCCUAUAAUAAUAAUUUGGGGAAAAAUAGGUUGCCAUGGAAAACAGUGUGGGGUAGGGUUAUGAGUCUAGCAUUAGGAAGAUUUGACCUGGUUAUAAAAUUCAUUCAUGAAAGCACUGUGGUUAGAAUUCAUGGGAAACCACCCAGCUUUAUGCUUGCUAAAAGGAAGUAAUAGGAUAUAGAGAGAGAUGCCUUCAAACAAAGCUGUUAUAAAUCUGCAACAGACAAUUGUAACGCCUAAAUUACUUAAACGAAAGCAGAUGCUUUUACGUAUAUUAAAUUUGAGUUUUUUGUUUGUUUAUAUGUUUAUUUUAACAAAAGAAAGCAGAGACAUUGGAGGAAAGUAUACAAAUUGUUCUAGAUAUGCUUUGCUUAAGAAAAAAAAAAAUUGUAACAUGGGUGAAGAGUAGAAAUACUCCACUGCCAAUGAAUGUAAUUCCUCCGCAUUCUCUCAUUUCACUCACCUUGUCUCUCGUUUGGCCUCAGAUUUUGCAGCUCUAGCAGGGAUUGUGGUUUAUAUGAAAAAGUAGAUUUUUUCCUUUUAAAUGGACAUAUAUAUCUUCAGAUGUAAAACUUCAGAAUUUCAAAAUAUGAUAAAAUUUUGUCACUUUAUAGGUUUUGAUUUAAUUUAUUUUAAAAGUUUCACUAUUCUUUUGAUAGUAGCUGACAGAUCCAAUCCUGUUCCCAUAUGCUUUCUGCUAUUUUAAAAGAAACAGUACACAAUUGCCUCAGAGAGGCACCAUGUGUUUCCAAAGUGUGAAUCUGAAAACCAUCCAUCUGGGCAUGUUGGCAUCUUCCUGAAUCGUAUGUGAUUGAAAGAAAUAUUUUCAACAUUUUUCAAGUCUUUGACUACAUGAGAAAGAGAAUAAGAACUGAAUUGAAGCUCUACUCUUCAGACCAAAAAAAGGUUGCAGAAUAUAAAUUUAGGCACUUUUUGGAGGGCUGGAGGUCUGUACACUGUUGUUAGGAAGAAACUGUCUACUCUCCAGCAGAGAUGAGAAAAAAAGGGGAAUUGUUACAAAAUUAAUAUGAGACCAGAUUAAAAGAUGUAUUGAAAGGAAAAGAGAGAUUAGAAUACCAGCCAGGAGGCAAUAAUAUUGAAAAAGUGAAGUUUUCAUAUCUUGUCAAAAGAAAAUGUUUACUUUUUCAAAGUUUUUUUAAUGUUGUAUAUUAUGAAUACAUUUGAAAUCCAAAUUAUUGUUCAGCCAUGUUGAAUAUAUUUGCUACUCUGACCAGUUUUUAGAAUGCUCUGAUGAAACUUGUGUGAUCUCCAAAUUUGUAUAGUGAAGAGAAAACCCUGAAAAUCUUUCACUUUGUCAUGCCUGCGCUGAGGGCAGAUGACUCACUGUAUGAAUUCAAGUUAAAUCACUUAACCUUUUUCUCUUAUUCAACCCAUCUGGGAAGCUGAAUACAAGCACUUCACUAUGAAACAGAUGGUGAGCCUAAGCUACAUUUUCCCAGAUUAAAAAAAGAAGAAUGUGUUAUAAGGACUAAAAGAACCAAAUGUGGAAAAAACGCAGGGAUUACACGGAAAAGAGCUAUAAGCUGGAUCAGACAUUUUCACCUGUAAAAAAUAAUGUAAUGCUUAAAAAAUAAGUCCUAGGAGAUGAUAUGGGGACAAAGUCAGUAAAACCUUUUCAUAAAGCACCAUAUGUGUAAUGUGGUCAUGAAUGUUGGUAUGUACAGUGAGUAAAAUGCUAUUUGUUUGCUGGUUCAUUUACCUGUAUGUCUCAGAAAACAAAUUUGGUUACUUUAGGAUACUUUUAGGUUAUCUAUUUGAUAACUGUAAAGCUAAAUGCUAAUAAAAACAUCUCGAGAAAAUUUAUGAGACCCAUCUAAAUUAUAGCUCCAGUGAAAUUUAACACUAGUUGGAAAACAAAAACUUUCCAAUAUGUUCUAGGAUAAUUGUUUUCUAAUCUUUUAUAUGCAUAUAAAUCACUUGGAAGUAAGGCAAGUUAUUGCCCCUUGGUAACUUUGGAUUUUAACUUUAUUAUGCAUAAAAUUAUAUUAAAUUCAAAUGUAUUUACAUGUGGAUAUUUAUAUCUGUCACAUUUUAUGGAAGAAGAAAUAUCUGUUGCAGCUAUUUUGAUAUUUUGAUGAAUAAAGUAGAACAUAUUAAAAAG
rnacentral:lncRNA from 1 species